CCUUGACCAUGCCUCCUCCCCUUGAGCACCCCCCCACCCUCACCUGCCUAACAGGACUGGGACCCUUCCCCAGCCAAUCGGCUGAGGCCACAGCCAUUACCUCACCAACUGCCCCUAGGCCCCAAUAAAACCUUUGUCCUUUUGAAACUCACUCUCUCCCCCCAGUAUCUCACUGCUGCGUUGGUGCAGGUAAGGGAUUGAGCUCAAGCUAGCUCAAAUAAAGGCUCUUUUGCUUUUACAUCGGACUCGGCUCCCUGGCGGUAUUUGGGGAUCACGAAUUCUGGGCAUAACAUUUGUCAGUGGCAUUAGUUUUGUUUUUCUUUUGUUUUGUUUGUGUUUCAUAGUUUUUAAAUCUCAUGAACAGACAAGGUUGUUGAUCUUUCCACCUUUUGGACUUUGUUGAGGCAUUCUGUGUUUACAUGUUGUAAAUUUUUGUGACAGUUCCAAACACUUGAAAAGAAGAUGCAUCUUGCAUGUGCUUGGAAUAGGAUUUGAUUUAUCUCCAGGAGGGUUCCCUUAGUAAAUUUGUUAUUAAGGUGUUUUGUAUCGAUACUUACUUUUUGACUUCUCAAUAUGUCAUGGACUAAGAGAGGUCAAAGAUUCCUACUAGCAAUGAGUUCUUACCCAUUUUUUAAUUAUGAUAGUUUUUGCUUUUCUAUAUUUUGAUGCUUUUUUUCUCCUGUGGGACGUUUGAUGGGAGUUAUAUCUUAAUUGUGGAUUAUAAUAUUCUUAGUAACAUAAAAAUACUUUCUGUUGUCUUAUUUAAUAUAUUUCCACCUUGAAUUCAAUCCUUUCUGAUAAUAAGGGCAAGAUCUCGUGUUUCUUUCAUUUUGUAUUUAGCUUAUAUAUUUCUGCUCAGCUAUAUAUAUGUCUUAAAUUGAAAGCCUUUUUAAAAUUAAAAUUUAAAGUUCUGUUUUAAUUUUAACUUAUCUGGUGUGUAUCCUCAGGUAAUUUCUCUAGAAGUUGAAAUAUUAGUAGCAUGUUUCAAAGAACUUCCAAGAUAGGAAGCGGCUUUCUCUCUCUUUAACAUGAUAAACAACUGGUACACUGGUGGGUACAGAGUACCUGGUUAUGGCCCUUUCUUCAGAGCUCUGGACAUCACACUGUUGGGCUCUGAUGCGGGGCUGGCCUCCUCGAGGUGCCACUUUGCUCCCAACCCUGUGGUGCGUGGUUGUUGUGUGUGCAUGAGUGUACAUGAAUGUGGGAGACCCUCCUUUUGUCAGGAGUUCCUGCAGUGCCUCUGUCUUUUCCAGAUACCCUGGAAGAAGCUCUGGAUUGAAAAGUGCUGUCAGUGCUGCAAUCAAAAGGCAGGAAAAUUGAGGAGGGAUCUGGAGUAUAAGACCACGAGGAUCGUCCUGAAUUCCCAGCCAGCCAAUGGCUGCCUCUCAGUGUCUCCCAAUGAGAAAAGCCUGAUAUUCACUGGUUUGUGGAUGAACAAAUACCAACAUGGUUGGAGAUUUGACCCUGAGCCUGGAGUGCUGGUCAGUAGGGGCUUCACGUGAGGCAAAGUGUACUGGGAGGUGAGGGUGGACAGGAUAUGGUGGGGGGCAGAGGAGGAAGAUGCAGUGUGUUACUGGGGUGGAGCCAGAGACAUGUUUGGCACUAGCUACCUGGGUGGGUUAGUGGGCACCCCUGGUGGUUACAGUCCCACCGGGUACAGAAAUGAGAAUGAAAAUGGAAUAUGGCUGAAAUUCUGCCUGGUGGGGAUGGCCAGAGAGUCGGUGGUGAGGAGAGGGUGUCUUGCCUUCACCCCUGAGGAGGGGUUCUGGACCUGCAGCUCUCCUCAGCUGGGGUGUAUGUAGGUACCAGUCUCGAGCCUUUCCAGAUCCUGUCAUGUUGUCCAAGGCAGACUGGAGUUGCUCUGGAUUAUCAUGGUGGGAAGGUGACCUUUACCAAUGCCAGGACUCAGAAGUUAAUCUACAAGUUCUUCUCUUCCUUCACGGGGAGAGUUUUCCCUUUCCUGUGGCUUGACUGUAUGAGAGGCAGACUCACGCUGAGGCUCUAAGACAAGGUCUCAUUUGGCCUGUAUUCCUCUGUGUCAUUCCCAACUUCCCACUCAGCUAGACUGUCUGUCUGGGCUUCCAAACACCCUUAGAUCAUGGGACCAGCACGGUGGAGGCAGGAGUCCCUGAUCCUUUCCACUUGGUCUCUAAAAUAGGGAUGACACUCAUCUGCCCUCUCUGCAGAGUUAGGGUUGGAAUGUCUUCAAAGCACUUAUUAAAAUAUGUGUUCUUGUUAA